rnacentral:lncRNA from 1 species
GGAGAGUGCAGGCUAGCAAUUUAACCUAGGGCCUCAUACUUGCUAGCACUACGGAUGAACCCAGAGCUGCAUCCUAAGCAAGCACUCUAUUCCUGAGCUUCACCUUUCAUUGGCGAGCUUACUGCUUACCUGAGAUUGAUUGGCUGGCAGGAUGUUUUCCUCUACGACAUGAUCUUUGGUACCCUAUGAACAAGGCUGCAUAAGUGAAGGAGAACAGGACAAGUGUCUUGAUGAAAUGUGACGGAGUUCGGUGUCUGUGACAUGAGAGAGAGACCACCAGCCUCCAUAUGAACACAACCAGUCCCUCAGGAGCCACCUCAAACUGCAUCUCCAGCUAGCAUCCCAUCACUAGUGUAUCCUAAUUACACCGGAGGCUUCGUGAAUAUGCCUCAGUAUGAUCAUUUCCGCAAUGUGGAUUUUAGUCACAGAGACUGAUAAAUUGCAGCUGCUCAGAAGAAAUGUGGAGCUUAUCAAAUAGUGUCAUUUGAUUAUAACUAUAGAUAUUGAUAACACAAUGAGCAAGGGUUCUCUAAAUGCAUCUCCCACCAUCACCCCAUAUACUGGGUGUUAUAUCACACAAUCAAAAUGGUUCAAAGGCUAUCUGAAAACUCCCCAAGGUCGGAUGGGCCAUAUAGGAACUGAAUGCAAAGCCAUAACAAAGUUGAUACCUUGAUCUCUGGAAUUAAAAAGGCCUGUGGCUGAGUGAGCUUCCAGACAAAGUCAGGCUCCAGAAAAGAGUCAGUUUCCUAAGGCUACAAUUCAUCAGUUGUGCAGAGGGCCUGGCAUGUACAGGGUGGCCAUCAUCUUAGCAUCUGACACCUCUUUAUCCAACUUCUCUCCUCCCCAACCCCCAGUCUAGAUUUCCCUGGGCCUCUCGGCCUCACCCAAGCAAUGUGUGCUGUUUGUGUGAUCAGCAAGUCGUUUAGGGAAAAGCCUUUUAAUUAAGAGGAGAGCAACAAAUUAUUAAAUCAGAGCCGUUUAUUACCCU